UCCUCUAUUAAACUAGUUUCCUAGUUCUCCCAAUUUGGAAGAAUUGGGAGGAAAAGGGACAUGAGACUGAUAAAAGGCAAAAAUGCCCACAAAUCUUCAAAUAAAGCUAGGGUACAAUGAUCUUUUUGAUUUAAAAUAUCUAUCAUCUUCCUCCGUUCCUUCCCCUUAUAAGGACUAUCCAAACAAAGGUGAUGUUCUCUCUCUUUCCCUCCCCCUCC
rnacentral:lncRNA from 1 species